AAGAUUUUAUACCCAUAUUGAAAUAUUAGGAGGACGUCAUGCUUUUAUCUGGAAAACCUAACUUAAACUGAUUAAGCAUACGUCUGCUCACGGACAUAGGUUUAAUCACUGAUAUGUCCGAAUGCAAAGCAAUCAAGAUCUGGCAUUCGCCGGAUUUUUUUAUGUCUAGAUUUUA
rnacentral:ncRNA from 1 species